AAUCAACGCUGGCGGCGUGCCUCAGACAUGCAGGUCGAACGCGAAAGGUUCCUUCGGGAACCGAGUAGAGUGGCGCACGGGUGAGUAACACGUAGGUAAUUUGCCUUUGGGUGGGGAAUAACAGCCGGAAACGGCUGCUAAUACCGCAUAAUGCAGCGGCUCGACAUCGAGACAGUUGUUAAAGCGGGGGAUCGCAAGACCUCGCGCCUAAAGAGAAGCCUGCGGCAGAUUAGCUAGUUGGUAGGGUAAUGGCCUACCAAGGCGACGAUCUGUAACCGGCCUGAGAGGGCGGUCGGUCACACUGACACUGACAUACGGGUCAGACUCCUACGGGAGGCAGCA
rnacentral:rRNA from 1 species